rnacentral:rRNA from 1 species
AACGUAGGACGCAAGCGUUAUCCGGAGUUACUGGGCGUAAAGCGCGGGCAGGCGGUCGGGCAAGUGGGGUGUGAAAUCUCCCAGCUUAACUGGGAGAGGCCAUUCCAAACUGCUUGACUGGAGGGCAGUAGAGGUAGGCGGAAUUCCGGGUGGAGUGGUGAAAUGCGUAGAGAUCGGGAGGAACACCAGUGGCGAAAGGCGGC